UGAGAUACUUUGGUGUCUAGUUUCUCACCUGUUAGAUGUCUAAUGAAAGCAGAUUGUAGGUGUUAACAGGCAAACCUUUUUGUCACAUACAUGAAGCUGUAAUAGGUAAUAAUGUGGCCUAUUACUUACUUUGCUAAACCUUUAUUAGACAUUACAAAUAUAGGUAAAGGUAAAUGACCCCUGGACGGUUAAGUCCAGUCAAAGGUGACUAUGGGGUUGCAGCACUCAUCUCGCUUUCAGGCUGAGGGAGUCAGCGUUUGUCCACAGACAGUUUUCCGGGUCAUGUGGCCAGCAGGACUAAACUGCUUCUGGCACAAUGGAACACCGUGACAGAAACCAGAGUGCAUGGAAACACCAUUUAGGUACCUUCCUGCCACAGCAGUACCUAUUUAUCUACUUGCACUGCGUGCUUUCGAACUGCUAGGUUGGCAGGAGCUGGGACAGAGCAACGGGAGCUCACUCCAUUGCAGGGAUUCAAACCACUGACCUUCCGAUCGGCAAGCCCAAGAGGCUCAGAAAUAUAUACAAAUAAACAGCCAUGUAAAAUAUGCAAUAACGAGGAUUUUCAUUGGAGUUUCUUCUGUGCCAAUUAUUAAUAGGGGCAUGUGGAGAAGCCAUCACAAUCUCAUUUAGUACAUAGCUAGCAGAAGACAUACUAUUUCAAAGCAAACAGAGGCAAGGUCAACAGGGAGCCUUUUUUGUUUUGCUUUGGAUACUUCAGGUUUUUAUUUGCUGUAGAGAACCCCAAACAGACAUUAGUUUCUAUGGGAGAAUGCAGAGGUGCGAGCAGGAUUUUCCUGGGCCCAGUACACUGUAUGUGGCUGGCCCCACUUUGUCCUCCCUCCUCCAACCUAUUGGUAGAAAAUACUGCUUACAUACAUAUAUUAACUUAGCCUACCAUCAGCUCCCCCAGCAAUGAAAAAGGCCACUGCUGUAUUUACUCUCAAAGAGAAGCUCUGUGCACCUCUCUUCCAUUCAGAACAGAAUGGAAGGUGGGUGUCUAAUCCUGGCAUCCAGUGAGAUGUGGGCAUGUCUGAGGGGUGAUGCUUAGUGUAGGAAAGGCCAAACUGGGGAGGAAUUGUGGACGUUUGAGGGAUGUUUACCAAUGCCUUUCAUGGGUGCCACUUUUCAUUCAGACCCACUGGUGUCCAUGAGCACCGUGUUGGUGGCCCUGAUCUAUCAGAUCUUGGAAUAUGAACUAUCCCAGUUCAAAAAGCCUCACAUCACAGUAUCAGAAGCUGAAUCCAGAUGUUCACCGCUGAAUCCAAAAACAUAUCUGUGGCAGCUGGAGAGGAGUAGGUGCAGCAACGUCUUUCUGGUUUUCUGUAGCUAUAACAUCCUAGGGUCAACUGGAAAAUGUACAAGACUCUUGCAAUGGCUAUUGGUUUAGCUUUUCUUCACACAUUAUAUUGUUGUCUAACUUCAGUGCUACAAUUUGGAUGACAUCAUGAGCGCUGAUGUUGACCUUUGCAGUCAUGAAAACUGCACUAGAAUAACUCUAAACUAUGAAGCAGCCGUAUGAUUCUUUAUACAGCAGUGUUCUAAUUAGCCACAUAAAGCUUAUUUGGACUGCACACCAGAGAUGGCAAAGUUUUGAUCAAUGGAUCAGGAUGGAUAAUUCAGGUUGGAUAAUUUUUAAUAGAACUAUCUGGAAAGUGGUCUGAAAUGGCUAUAAUUAGUCUGAUCCCUUUGCUUUUACAGUAACCCAUGAACAAAAAAUGAAUUGAUUUCCUUCCUCAGCCCCUUUAUGGUAAAUCUCUUUUAUAGGGCUUUUAAAAGAAUCCGUCCCGCAAUCUAUCAUGUGGCAGCACAGAUUGGUGGUGCUUAGUGAAAUUCCACUCUUCUACCUGUAAAGAUGCUUAACACAAAGUUCCUGUUUUUGAAGGAAGCAUCAGGAGUUCAAAUACACAAAACAUUUUAAACUCAUUAAUUCUAGAUUUUAAUUCUGUCUGCGAGCAAAAAACCUUUCGUCUGAUCAUAGUCUAAUUGUGUGUGUGUGGGGGGGAUUACUUGGUAACAUUUGGCAGAUUGUGUGCCCUGUUUCUUCAAAGAAGCUAGAAGAAAUAAUUUAAGUGCAGGAAAAAAUAGAUCACCAGAACAGGAGAAAAGUGUGUUUUAUUUUUAUUUCAGACAAUCUUAACUGGAAAAAGAAAGAUUUAAGAGGAAGUUUAUGUCAGUUCCCAUGAUCAUUACAUCUCUGAGGACCAAUUCACAUUAUCAAAUUGCUAUGUUGAAAACAUGAGUUAAGUGGAUCUGUGCAGAGUAAUUGAUUCACUAUACAUCUAUCUUGCAAAUCAAGGCACAGCUACUGCACAAUUGCAAUGCUGCUAAAAUUGGAAUUGCAGACUGCACUUCCUUUUAAGGUUACUUUCACACUAGACAAAUUCUAUGGAAUGUUAUCCUUUGUUUGCUCAUUUUUUAAAUGGACCUCCUGGAACAAGUCAUUGUGUUUACUGAUGUCUUGUGGCUUUUCAGAUCUGAUUUGUUGCAAACUUUUGGUGAUAAAAUGCAAUUGCAGUACUAGUUGUUUAGUUUGGACAAAGUGCUAUUGAACUUUUAAAGUGCUCCUAUUUUUUUAUAUCCUUUCCUGUUUGUAGGUGUUGUCCAUUUUAUGACUUUGCCAGGGGAUUAAUGCUGUUUGCCCCAUGAAUAUUUUUUUUGUAAUUUCACCGAUGUUAGGUCAUAUUCACACCGUAUAUUGGAAACAAAUUUAAAGCACAUGGCUGUUCAUUCCCCAAUAAUUAUGGGAAUGUAAGAGUGCUGGGAAUUGUAGAUCUGUAAGCAAUACACUGCUGUAUUGUUCUUAACACUCGAUUGGGAGCUGCCCAAAGUACACACUGUACAAAAAGAGGUAGCAAGAGAAAAAGUAAAAGUGAUUUGUUUGGGCAAGUUAGUGAACAUCUCAAGAGAAAACAAAAUAGUAAGAGUAUUAACUAUUUUUUUAAAAAAACACACAAACUCCCACAAGGCAAAUGGAAAUGUUGGAUGAUAAAAAUGGGGAAACGCAAUACUGAGAGCUCAGUGCACCAAAAUAUCCCUUAAGGAAUAUAAAAAUCAAGCAUUUCCCUCCCACGGAUUCCGAUUUAUUCCAGUGGAUGAUGGCUAUAUACCUGCCUAGCAAUAGACACUGAAGGUUAUACACUAGUAUUCAUCACACAGAAAUAACUGCCAUUGAACACGGUGGGGCUUACUCCCAGGAAAGUGGCUAUUUUUAUUUCCUUUAUCCAAAAAUAUUUCUAUACAGCUUGCUGUUAAAAAAACAACAAAUAAAUCCCAAAGACAUACCAUGACAGAAUAAACAUACCAUGGUAUCAUAUCAGACAAAGCCAAGAUAUUACAGAUCACCGGAAAUACAGAGUGACUGGAACCAGUGUUUAAAGGCUGAGGAAGUGCUGAACUAAAAAGUGUGUUUUUAACCCUCCUAAAAACAGGUGGGAGGUCUCUCCAAAGGGCACGUGCUACCAGCAGAGAAGACCCAGUUCUUUAUUGCCACCAGAUGACACUUCGCAGAAUCGCACCCUAAGACUAUAGUUAUUGGACUCAUUGGACAGAUCGAUAGCUUGUUGAUAUUGCUAUGAGAAUAUCAGCUAUGUAAAGGUAAAGGUACCCCUGCCCGUACGGGCCAGCCUUGACAGACUCUAGGGUUGUGCACUCAUCUCACUCUAGAGGCCGGGAGCCAGUGCUGUCCGCAGACACUUCCGGGUCACGUGGCCAGUGUGACAAGCUGCAUCUGGCGAGCCAGCGCAGCACACGGAAACGUCGUUUACCUUCCCGCUGGUAAGUGGUCCCUAUUUAUCUACUUGCACCCGGGGGUGCUUUCGUAGGCUGACACUAUUUCCUUUGAGAUAACUUCAUUUAUUUAUUCCACCUUUCUCUCAUCAUCAUGGUGCACAUGGGAUCUCCAACUGGCCUGACAUAAAAAUGCCACUCAGACCCAAAGUUGCUUAGCUUCAGCAAGUGGACUGUACCUUGAUAGGCCCUCAGACUCGGCACACAGAACAUUCAGGGCAAAAUCCCUAGAAUUUCCAGUUGACAAGGUGGCAUGUAAUGUGAAAGACCUUGCUCUGUCUGAGGCUCUGGAGUAAUAGUGGACAACAAUGGGCUAUAGAUAGACAACAUAAGGCAUGUUCUUAUGCCAGCUGUAUUGGAGUUUGGCUGCUUUAUCAGUCCACAAUCUGAAUAAUCAGAAGUUCACUGCUCUCUGCAUGUGCUGUGUACAAAAAGAAGCAGGUGCUGUGUUUCUUUCUAUUAAAAAAAAAAAUAAAUGUUGGAUAUGGCUCCACAAUACCCUAUUUCAAUGAGAUGGUGGAAUAUAUCAAUCAAUCUAAAUAUUAGCAUUUCUUAUUUUUUUGAAUAGAUUAUUUUUAAUGAAGUAUAGAAGGGGAUCUAAACUUUCAAUAAGUAACAUUGGAAAGUAAUAAAAUGGCUGUGUAUCAUGUGAAGGAUAUGUUGAUGUAAAAUAGAUACGCUGACAAAAAUUCAUCCUACCUCCACAGGAGCAUUAUAUAGCAUACAUUUAGUAUACGU
rnacentral:lncRNA from 1 species